rnacentral:rRNA from 1 species
UCCGGUUGAUCCUGCCGGACCUGACUGCUAUCGGAUCGGUACUAAGCCAUGCGAGUCGUUGUAGCAAUACAAGGCGGACGGCUCAGUAACACGUAGUCAACCUAACCUAUGGACGUGGAUAACCUCGGGAAACUGAGAAUAAACCGCGAUAGAUCAUAAUGCCUGGAAUGGCUUAUGGUUCAAACAAUUUAUUGCCGUAGGAUGGGACUGCGGCCUAUCAGCUUGUUGGUGAGGUAAUGGCCCACCAAGGCGAUUACAGGUACGGGCUCUGAGAGGAGAAGCCCGGAGAUGGGUACUGAGACACGGACCCAGGCCCUAUGGGGCGCAGCAGGCGAGAAACCUUAGCAAUGUGCGAAAGCACGACUGGGUCAGUCCGAGUGAUUCCUGAUAAAGGAGUCUUUUGCCUGUCCUAAAAGCACAGGUGAAUAAGGGGUGGGCAAGUCUGGUGUCAGCCGCCGCGGUAAUACCAGCACCUCGAGUGGUCAGGACGUUUAUUGGGCUUAAAGCAUCCGUAGCCGGCUCUGCAAGUCUUCGGUUAAAUCCACCUGCUCAACAGAUGGGCCGCUGGAGAUACUACAGAGCUAGGGAGUGGGAGAGGCAGACGGUAUUCAGUGGGUAGGGGUAAAAUCCUCUGAUCCAUUGAGGACCACCAGUGGCGAAGGCGGUCUGCCAGAACACGUUCGACGGUGAGGGAUGAAAGCUGGGGGAGCAAACCGGAUUAGAUACCCGGGUAGUCCCAGCUGUAAACGAUGCAAACUCGGUGAUGCAUUGGCUUAUGGCCAAUGCAGUGCCGCAGGGAAGCCGUUAAGUUUGCCGCCUGGGAAGUACGGACGCAAGUCUGAAACUUAAAGGAAUUGGCGGGGAGCACCACAAGGGUGAGCCUGCGGUUCAAUUGGAGUCAACGCCGGA